rnacentral:rRNA from 1 species
UACGUAGGCAGCAAGCGUUGUUCGGAAUUACUGGGCGUAAAGAGUGUGUAGGCGGUUUUCUAAGUUCGGUGUGAAACCUCCCGGCUUAACUGGGAGGGUGCGCCGGAAACUGGAGGACUGGAGUGCCGGAGAGGAUAGCGGAAUUCCUGGUGUAGCGGUGAAAUGCGUAGAUAUCAGGAGGAACACCUGCGGUGUAGACGGCUAUCUGGACGGUUACUGACGCUGAGACACGAAAGCGUGGGUAGCAAACAGG